ensembl:lncRNA
GUAUCAGGAUAUAUCAGGAGGUAUCAACCAGAGAGGAGGUAUCAGAAGUUAUCAGGAGGUAUCAGAAGUUAUCAGGAGGUAUCAGGAGGUAUCAACCAGAGAGGAGGUAUCAGGAGGUAUCAACCAGAGAGGAGGUAUCAGGAGGUAUCAGGAGUUAUCAGGAGGUAUCAACCAGAGAGGAGUUAUCAGGAGGUAUCAGGAGGUAUCAACCAGAGAGGAGUGAUCAGGAGGUAUCAGGAGGUAUCAACCAGAGAGGAGGUACGCUGAAUGACGGCCAUUUUGGGCGGGGCACAUGCACUAUGAGAGAGCAAGAGAGAGAGCGAGCGAGCGAGAGAUGGGGAGAGAGAGAGAGAGACACACUUGGAGGGAAAAAAGAGCGAGUUCUAGAUUGUGUCUAGAUACAUAACGAAAUUAAACAAAUUUUGUCCUAGUCUGUUCCGAAACAAAUCUCAAAGGCUGACAAUACUGCCGACCGCACUGUUUUCUGAGGAGAGUCUCUCAAGCAGAACUUAACAUUUCAUUGGAAGUAAAACCAUGAAUACAGUGUAUUCAGUGUCAGGGGGAACAAGAUCAUGCAUAUCAUAUUAGGAGUGCUGUUGUAGGCUCAUUUUUGUCUUUUGGAUCCCAAUGGAUAAGAUUAUAUGGACAGGUGGGUGGC